AACGAACGCUGGCGGCAUGCCUAACACAUGCAAGUCGAACGAGACCUUCCGGUCUAGUGGCGCACGGUUGCGUAACGCGUGGUAACCUGCCCUUAGGUUCGCAAUAACUCCCCGAAAGGGGUGCUAAUACCGUAUAAUGUCUUCGGACCAAAGAUUUCUCGCCUUUGGAUGGGCCCGCGUUGGAUUAGCUAGGUGGUAGGGUAAAAGCAUACCAAGGCGACGAUCCAUAGCUGGUCUGAGAGGAUGAUCAGCCGCACUGGGACUGAGACACGGCCCAGACUGCUACGGGAGGCAGCAGUGGGGAAUAUUGGACAAUGGGCGAAAGCCUGAUCCAGCAAUGCCGCGUGAGUGAUGAAGGCCUUAGGGUUGUAAAGCUCUAUUACCCGGGAUGAUAAUGACAGUACCGGGAGAAGAAGCACCGGCUAACUACGUG
rnacentral:rRNA from 1 species